GGGCUGGGGCUCAGAGGUAGAGCACUUGCCCAGCAUGUGUGAGGCACUGAGUUCAAUUCUCAGCACCACA
rnacentral:tRNA from 1 species